AGAGUUUGAUCCUGGCUCAGAACGAACGCUGGCGGCAGGCUUAACACAUGCAAGUCGAACGCACUCUUCGGAGUGAGUGGCAGACGGGUGAGUAACGCGUGGGAACGUACCCUUCAGUUCGGAAUAACCCAGGGAAACUUGGGCUAAUACCGGAUACGUCCGUAAGGAGAAAGAUUUAUCGCUGAAGGAUCGGCCCGCGUCGGAUUAGCUAGUUGGUGGGGUAAUGGCCUACCAAGGCGACGAUCCGUAGCUGGUCUGAGAGGAUGAUCAGCCACACUGGGACUGAGACACGGCCCAGACUCCUACGGGAGGCAGCAGUGGGGAAUAUUGGACAAUGGGCGCAAGCCUGAUCCAGCCAUGCCGCGUGAGUGAAGAAGGCCUUAGGGUUGUAAAGCUCUUUCAGCGGGGACGAUAAUGACGGUACCCGCAGAAGAAGCCCCGGCUAACUUCGUGCCAGCAGCCGCGGUAAUACGAAGGGGGCUAGCGUUGUUCGGAAUUACUGGGCGUAAAGCGCGCGUAGGCGGAUUACUAAGUCAGAGGUGAAAUCCCAGGGCUCAACCCUGGAACUGCCUUUGAUACUGGUGAUCUGGAGUUCGGUAGAGGUGAGUGGAAUUCCGAGUGUAGAGGUGAAAUUCGUAGAUAUUCGGAGGAACACCAGAAGCGAAGGCGGCUCACUGGACCGACACUGACGCUGAGGCGCGAAAGCGUGGGGAGCAAACAGGAUUAGAUACCCUAGUAGUCC
rnacentral:rRNA from 1 species